UACGUAGGGGGCAAGCGUUGUCCGGAAUUAUUGGGCGUAAAGAGCGUGUAGGCGGUCCGGUAAGUCCGCUGUGAAAGUCCAGGGCUCAACCCUGGAAUGCCGGUGGAUACUGCCGGGCUAGAGUCCGGAAGAGGCGAGUGGAAUUCCUGGUGUAGCGGUGAAAUGCGCAGAUAUCAGGAGGAACACCGAUGGCGAAGGCAGCUCGCUGGGACGGUACUGACGCUGAGGCACGAAAGCGUGGGGAGCAAACAGG
rnacentral:rRNA from 1 species